UUGGAGGGCAAGUCUGGUGCCAGCAGCCGCGGUAAUUCCAGCUCCAAUAGCGUAUAUUAAAGUUGUUGCAGUUAAAAAGCUCGUAGUUGAAUUUCGGGAUCAAUAUAUCGGUCGUGCUUAGGUACGUACUGGUAUUAUUGAUUUCUCCCUUCUGAAGAACCAUGAUGUCAUUAAUUUGAUGUCGUGGGAAUCAGGAC
rnacentral:rRNA from 1 species